GUUGGGUAGGGGAGCGUUCUGUAAGCCUGCGAAGGUGUACUGUGAGGUAUGCUGGAGGUAUCAGAAGUGCGAAUGCUGACAUAAGUAACGAUAAUGCGGGUGAAAAACCCGCACGCCGGAAGACCAAGGGUUCCUGUCCAACGUUAAUCGGGGCAGGGUGAGUCGACCCCUAAGGCGAGGCUGAAAAGCGUAGUCGAUGGGAAACGGGUUAAUAUUCCCGUACUGGUGGUAACUGCGAUGGGGGAACGGAGAAGGCUAGGUUGUCCGGGCGACGGUCGUCCCGGUUCAAGCAUGUAGGCAGAGUGAUUAGGCAAAUCCGGUCACUUAAUGCUGAGGUGUGAUGACGAACCACUAAGGUGGUGAAGCAAUUGAUGCCCUGCUUCCAGGAAAAGCCUCUAAGCUUCAGGUUACCAACAAUCGUACCCCAAACCGACACAGGUGGUCAGGUAGAGAAUACUCAGGCGCUUGAGAGAACUCGGGUGAAGGAACUAGGCAAAAUGGUGCCGUAACUUCGGGAGAAGGCACGCUGGCGGUAAGUGAAGUCCCUUGCGGACGGAGCCGAAGCCAGUCGAAGAUACCAGCUGGCUGCAACUGUUUAUUAAAAACACAGCACUGUGCAAACACGAAAGUGGACGUAUACGGUGUGACGCCUGCCCGGUGCUGGAAGGUUAAUUGAUGGGGUUAUCCUUAGGGAGAAGCUCUUGAUCGAAGCCCCAGUAAACGGCGGCCGUAACUAUAACGGUCCUAAGGUAGCGAAAUUCCUUGUCGGGUAAGUUCCGACCUGCACGAAUGGCGUAAUGAUGGCCAGGCUGUCUCCACCCGAGACUCAGUGAAAUUGAACUCGCUGUGAAGAUGCAGUGUACCCGCGGCAAGACGGAAAGACCCCGUGAACCUUUACUAUAGCUUGACACUGAACAUUGAGCCUUGAUGUGUAGGAUAGGUGGGAGACUAUGAAGUGUGGACGCCAGUCUGCAUGGAGUCAACCUUGAAAUACCACCCUUUAACGUUUGAUGUUCUAACCUAGGUCCAUAAUCUGGAUCGGGGACCGUGUCUGGUGGGUAGUUUGACUGGGGCGGUCUCCUCCUAAAGAGUAACGGAGGAGCACGAAGGUUGGCUAAGCAUGGUCGGACAUCAUGCGGUUAGUGCAAAGGCAUAAGCCAGCUUGACUGUGAGAGUGACGGCUCGAGCAGGUACGAAAGUAGGUCUUAGUGAUCCGGUGGUUCUGAAUGGAAGGGCCAUCGCUCAACGGAUAAAAGGUACUCCGGGGAUAACAGGCUGAUACCGCCCAAGAGUUCAUAUCGACGGCGGUGUUUGGCACCUCGAUGUCGGCUCAUCACAUCCUGGGGCUGAAGUAGGUCCCAAGGGUAUGGCUGUUCGCCAUUUAAAGUGGUACGCGAGCUGGGUUUAGAACGUCGUGAGACAGUUCGGUCCCUAUCUGCCGUGGGCGUUGGAAGAUUGAGAGGGGUUGCUCCUAGUACGAGAGGACCGGAGUGAACGCACCACUGGUGUUCGGGUUGUCAUGCCAAUGGCAUUGCCCGGUAGCUAAGUGCGGAAGAGAUAACCGCUGAAAGCAUCUAAGCGGGAAACUUGCCUCAAGAUGAGUCUUCCCUGUCACCUUGAGUGACCUAAAGGAACGUUUAAGACUAAGACGUUGAUAGGCUGGGUGUGUAAGCGUAGCGAUACGUUGAGCUAACCAGUACUAAUGAACCGUGAGGCUUAACCUGACAACACCGAAGGUGUUU
rnacentral:rRNA from 1 species